CAGCCCACUGUCCUUCUGAGCGUGCGUGCGUGUGUGAGCCCAGACGUGACAUCGUCAGUAGAGACCCUCCAUCUGAUUAAAACAAAACCAAACCAGAAAAAGCAAGCGGGGGAAAAAGAAAAGAAAAAACCGGCACAGAUGCGUGUCAGGUUAAGCUGGCGAUGGGGUGGACAUGCUCGCGUUGUUUGUAAGAUGCCAGAGAAGCUGUGGGUGGAUUUCAGCCCGGGUUUUGGUGCAACUCCCCUCCGUUUUGCUAUCGAGUCCAAUACAGCGGCUGAGCGGAUGGGCUGAAGUGAAGCUGGUCGUCUCUGCUCGGCGUGAGUGAUGAGCAGUAGAAUAGACAGGCUGUCACAGCACACCUGUAGGCCUGGCAGCCGAGUCCAUCAUUGGGCUGAGCCUUCACAGAGAUUAAAAACACUGCAUCCAUUAGGCCUUGUGUCAGCCGUCAUUAUUCUAUAAAGAAGCGAUUUUGUCACAUCUACAUUCUUCAGGCCGCUAUCCGCACGCAGAUGAAUAAGCGGGAUGUUCCAUCUCCAAACACGGCUCACUUUUGACAGGAACACAACCAUUUGUGACGCCAUCUCCCCAAUACUUCACACAUCCAUUGGGAAGGAAGCAUCAAAUAAGUCUUAAUGCAAUGAUCCCGCAGUCCAUCACCUGAUGGGACUUUAAGUUUUCCAGUCAUAUUUAUUCUCGGAAAUGUACGUUUCGUCCUAGAGCUGUCAUUCAAACGGGCUCACAAUUUAUUCUGCCAUGUGCAUUUAUCUGACAGGCCUUUGUUUUCUACAAUGUUCAACUGUGAUUCAAUUUUACACAUUGUAGUUUGACAGCUGUCAUUUGACAGGAACACAGGCCUCAUUGCGGACAGCGUAAGAAUAACAAAUUCAGACUGGAAAUAAGCAGCGCAGAGGGUGUCAAAUGAGUUUUUAAAGGCUUCAAACAUUUCAAAUUUAAUGGAGGAACACUUAAAGGUGUCACUGCUGGUGCAUUUCAAACUGCAUGUGUUUUUAAAGUUGUGUAUUUAAAGUCCAGGCUUUCGGUGAAGGUGAACACAAUAAUGAAAAAUCUGUCAUUUACUUGCUUUCAUGUUGCCCCAAACCUGUAUGACUUUCUUCCAUCUAAGGAACACAAAAGAAGCCAUUUAGCAGAACGGUUUAUACACUGAAUGGUGAGGUUCUUUAUUGGACAACCAUGGAAACUUUCCAUUCCACAAAACUUUUGCGUAUUACUUAAAUUCUUCUUUCGGGAACCAAAAAUGGUUCUUCUAAGGCAUCGCUGCAAAAAUGUUCUUUUGGAAGCUUCAUUUUAAGAGCACCUAAGCUGUCAAGCUUCAAAAAUUACGGAAAGUACCAGCAUGAACAUUCUGCUAAACAUCUCCUUUAAUUUUCUACAAAACACUGAAAGUCAAACGGGUAUAGAAUGACAAGGUGAUAGGAAAUAUUUUUCUUUUUUUUUAAGAUACCAAUCCAUGUUUUUGGCCAAAAAAAUGAUCCAUCUGGAUGAAUGUUGCCUAAAAGUUUUUUUUAUUUUUAUUUUAUAUUCAAAGAU
rnacentral:lncRNA from 1 species